rnacentral:rRNA from 1 species
GACGAACGCUGGCGGCGUGCUUAACACAUGCAAGUCGAACGGGCCCGCCCCUGUUUUUGGGGGUGGGUUGAGUGGCGAACGGGUGAGUAUCACGUGAGUAACCUGCCCCCUGCUCCUGGAUAACUGCUUGAAAGGGCGGCUAAUACGGGGUGUGCCGGCUGGUCCGCAUGGGCCUGGUCGGGAUAGUUUCAUCUUCGGGUGUUUCGGUGGGGGAUGGGCUCGCGGCCUAUCAGCUUGUUGGUGGGGUGAUGGCCCACCAAGGCGGUGACGGGUAGCCGGCCUGAGAGGGUGGGCGGCCACACUGGGACGGAGACACGGCCCAGACUCCUGCGGGAGGCAGCAGUGGGGGGUAGUGCACAAUGGGCGGAAGCCUGAGGCAGCGACGUCGCGUGAGGGAUGGAGGCCUUCGGGUAGGGAACCUCUUUCUCCGGUGGUGAAGGCCCUGUCCGUUGCGGCGGGGUUGACGGUAGCCGGGUAUGAAGCGCCGGCUAACUACGUG